UGUGAAUGUGAUAUUAUUUUCUUAAAUCAAUCAAAUGGAGAUGAAGCAAGCAGAAAACAAUUUUUACAAGGAACAAUGUAAAAUUAAAAUCGAAAGUUCUGGACAACCUGUGUGAUGCUGUAAUAAUUAUGUUCCUAUUCUGUUAAAACUGAGAUAGAGAGUCUUUAAAACUGAUAAAAAUAGUUAUUUCUAUGAUGGAAAUUCUUUGGACCAAAUAAAUAGAGAAGUUAUUAUUGAAGACAUCAAAUAAAAGGAGGAAAAUUUAUGUGAAAAAUGAUUUUCAUAAUAAAAGAAGAACUGACGUUAUUAUGAAACCAGUGUAUGGACGGUGUGUUUUACUGACUUAAAGCAAGAGUACCUUUUAUACUUGAAUUUGUCACAUUUUUUAAUUUCAUAAUUUUAUUUAUGUAAGUUGUGAUUGUAAAAAUAUUGUUAAGUUGUAUUCAUAGUUCUCUACUUGUUCUUUUGAAGUACUGUUUUUAUUAUAAUUGGUAUUGUAAAGUUGAAAUCCUCAAAUCAAAAUAUAAUUUAUAAUUCGAA